GCGGACGUAGUGCACGGCGCACCAUUGCCUUCUAUCGAGAAGUACGUUGCCAGAUGCAAGCAGUUGACGGGGUUCGACUCCCCGCGUCCGCC